rnacentral:rRNA from 1 species
GGACAAAAGUCUGACGGAGCAACGCCGCGUGAGUGAUAAAGGUUUUCGGAUCGUAAAGCUCUGUUGUUAGGGAAGAACAAGUGCGAGAGUAACUGCUCGCACCUUGACGGUACCUAACCAGAAAGCCACGGCUAACUACGUGCCAGCAGCCGCGGUAAUACGUAGGUGGCAAGCGUUGUCCGGAAUUAUUGGGCGUAAAGGGCUCGCAGGCGGUUUCUUAAGUCUGAUGUGAAAGCCCCCAGCUCAACCGGGGAGGGUCAUUGGAAACUGGGAAACUUGAGUGCAGAAGAGGAGAGUGGAAUUCCACGUGUAGCGGUGAAAUGCAUAGAGAUGUGGAGGAACACCAGUGGCGAAGGCGACUCUCUGGUCUGUAACUGACGCUGAGGAGCGAAAGCGUGGGGAGCGAACAGGAUUAGAUACCCUGGUAGUCCACGCCGUAAACGAUGAGUGCUAAGUGUUAGGGGGUUUCCGCCCCUUAGUGCUGCAGCUAACGCAUUAAGCACUCCGCCUGGGGAGUACGGUCGCAAGACUGAAACU